rnacentral:rRNA from 1 species
GUGGGGAAUAUUGGACAAUGGGGGGAACCCUGAUCCAGCCAUGCCGCGUGUGUGAAGAAGGCCUUUUGGUUGUAAAGCACUUUAAGCGAGGAGGAGGCUACCGAGAUUAAUACUCUUGGAUAGUGGACGUUACUCGCAGAAUAAGCACCGGCUAACUCUGUGCCAGCAGCCGCGGUAAUACAGAGGGUGCAAGCGUUAAUCGGAUUUACUGGGCGUAAAGCGCGCGUAGGUGGCCAAUUAAGUCAAAUGUGAAAUCCCCGAGCUUAACUUGGGAAUUGCAUUCGGUACUGGUUGGCUAGAGUAUGGGAGAGGAUGGUAGAAUUCCAGGUGUAGCGGUGAAAUGCGUAGAGAUCUGGGGGAAUACCGAUGGCGAAGGCAGCCAUCUGGCCUAAUACUGACACUGAGGUGCGAAAGCAUGGGGAGCAAACAGGAUUAGAAACCCCGGUAGUCC